rfam:Picea glauca, whole genome shotgun sequence.
GGGUGUGAUCGUACCAACAUUAAUGCACCGGAUCCCAUCAGAACUACGCAGUUAAGCGCGCUUAGGCUAGAGUAGUACUGGGAUGGGUGACCUCCUGGGAAGUCCUAGGGUUGCACCCU